UACGUAGGGGGCAAGCGUUGUCCGGAAUCAUUGGGCGUAAAGAGCGUGUAGGCGGUUCGGUAAGUCGGCUGUGAAAGUCCAGGGCUCAACCCUGGGAUGCCGGUCGAUACUGCCGGACUAGAGUUCGGAAGAGGCGAGUGGAAUUCCCGGUGUAGCGGUGAAAUGCGCAGAUAUCUGGAAGAACACCAGUGGCGAAGGCGGCUCUCUGGGACGGUACUGACGCUGAGACGCGAAAGCGUGGGGAGCGAACAGG
rnacentral:rRNA from 1 species